rnacentral:rRNA from 1 species
UGGGGAAUAUUGGACAAUGGGCGCAAGCCUGAUCCAGCCAUGCCGCGUGAGUGAUGAAGGCCCUAGGGUUGUAAAGCUCUUUCACCGGUGAAGAUAAUGACGGUAACCGGAGAAGAAGCCCCGGCUAACUCCGUGCCAGCAGCCGCGGUAAUACGAAGGGGGCUAGCGUUGUUCGGAUUUACUGGGCGUAAAGCGCACGUAGGCGGACUUUUAAGUCAGGGGUGAAAUCCCGGGGCUCAACCCCGGGACUGCCUUUGAUACUGGAAGUCUUGAGUAUGGUAGAGGUGAGUGGAAUUCCGAGUGUAGAGGUGAAAUUCGUAGAUAUUCGGAGGAACACCAGUGGCGAAGGCGGCUCACUGGACCAUUACUGACGCUGAGGUGCGAAAGCGUGGGGAGCAAACAGG